rnacentral:rRNA from 1 species
UACGUAGGGGGCAAGCGUUAUCCGGAUUUACUGGGUGUAAAGGGAGCGUAGACGGCGGUGCAAGCCAGAUGUGAAAGCCCGGGGCUCAACCCCGGGACUGCAUUUGGAACUGUGCUGCUAGAGUGUCGGAGAGGCAGGCGGAAUUCCAUGUGUAGCGGUGAAAUGCGUAGAUAUAUGGAGGAACACCGGUGGCGAAAGCGGCUCUCUGGCCUGUAACUGACACUGAGGCUCGAAAGCGUGGGGAGCAAACAGG